rnacentral:rRNA from 1 species
GACGAACGCUGGCGGCGUGCCUAAUACAUGCAAGUUGAGCGCUGAAGGUUGGUACUUGUACCAACUGGAUGAGCAGCGAACGGGUGAGUAACGCGUGGGGAAUCUGCCUUUGAGCGGGGGACAACAUUUGGAAACGAAUGCUAAUACCGCAUAAAAACUUUAAACACAAGUUUUAAGUUUGAAAGAUGCAAUUGCAUCACUCAAAGAUGAUCCCGCGUUGUAUUAGCUAGUUGGUGAGGUAAAGGCUCAACAAGGCGAUGAUACAUAGCCGACCUGGGAGGGUGGACGGCCAAAUUGGGACUGAGAAAAGGCCCAAGCUCCUACGGGAGGCAGCAGUAAGGAAUUCUCGGCAAUGGACGAAAGUCUGACCGAGCAACGCCGCGUGAGUGAAGAAGGUUUUCGGAUCGUAAAACUCUGUUGGUAGAGAAGAACGUUAGUGAGAGUGGAAAGCGCAUCAAGUGACGGUAACUACCCAGAAAGGGACGGCUAACUACGUG